CUGAACCUCACUACUUCUAACCCUAAAAGAGCCAUUAAUAACUCAUCUACCAACUGUGGUUGCCCUGAGACACCCUUCAAUGCUAUUCAGUAUGCUUCAGACAGAGUUCCCACCUGGAGUAUUAUCCCUGCACCAAGUGACAAUCUGCCUUUUCUAAGGGAACUUCCCAACUUUCUGUCUUCGCCAAGAAAAUCCUGUCACAGUGCUGACAUUUGGGGAAGAACUUUUAAAAUAUUUCAAGAUUAAACUGGCUUUCAAAUUGAUUUUCCUUCACUGCACUCAAAUGCUGUGUUAAAGUACUCCAGCAGUAACAAUGGGAAGUCUGAAUUUACUCACUGUGUUCUCAUGGCUAGCUUUGGAGACUUAUCUAAACUUUGCAGGCUGACAUUUCUUGUGAUGUGGUUUGCACGAAAACUUUCCUUUAAAAAAAAAUCUGAAGAAAAUGUAUUUCAUAGUUUUGAACUGAUCAGAGAAGGAGUGGAGCGAAUCGCAGCAGAGGAGUUAUGGUGAGGGCUCCCCUUUCUGCUAUUUUUUGAUCAUUUGGAACAAAUCUGGAUACAAAUCAUCCCUGUACAUGAUGCAUCUGGGGAAGUGCGCUGUGCUUAUUCGUUUAUCUGGAAAGGAACUGAAGGUACCGUAUCUCCUCUAUCAUGAGCUGACAACAACUGAGAAACCCUAAACUCCUUAAGCUUUCUUUUAAAAAGUAGAUUGCAAAAAAUGAAAUGGCACAGAGGAAAUCUCCAGUUAGUAUUCUGGAGUGGCACAAUAUACAGUGGCACAAGGAAAUAGUCACCUUUGGCUACACAGCACAAGGUAGGAAAGAAACUGGAUGUGAUGUUCUCUGAGAAGAACUACCAGCACUGCCAUGGCAUGAACUUUAGGGCAGCAUAGUAUCACACAUAAUUAACAAAAUUCCAGCCCAGAAUUCAAGAGUGUUAGGCAGAAAUACACCAUGCCUUUAUGCUUGGACUCACACCACACAACAUGUGCAAACAUGAUUUCCAAGUUCAGUAGUCAUAGUAUAUUCUGGAUUGAUUUAUGCACAUCUCUAUUCAGGACCUCAAAAAAAUCAAGCUUUUUUCCAGUGAUUUUCCCUCACUUACAGGAGGGGAAAAAUAAGAAAAAGGUGCCCGUGAUCUGCAAAAAAAUGCCAAUUCAAUGUAUGCAUCCAAAGUCAGAAAAUCUUCAUCCUUGGAAAACUGAGGUAGAGGAAGAACUGUGGAUGUUGUUUUACCAGAGAAGAGGCCAGAGGAGCAUACUGCAGGUUACCUGGAUACCGUCUUUUUAUCACAUAGAAGAUGAAUGCAUACACACUGCUUCCAUCUGUGCUCCACCCCUGGGUGGAAGGGAGCAGAGGAAUGCAGUCCCUGCCCAAACUCCAGACUGGGUUGGCCUUCAUCACCUUCUCUUCUUCCCUUCCACCUCCCCCAUCCUGGCCAGCACACUUCACAGGGACUUCACAGGUCAGGGUGCUCCUGACCAUCACUGAUAUCAGUAACACUAAAGAUUGCUUUAGGGCUCAACAGUAGGUUUGUCACAUUUCUAAUUUAGAGAUCACAGCUUCAUCACGUGGCCUGGGCAACGUGGGUGGGGUGGACAACUGGGAUAGGUAAGCUGGUCCACCAUUGGCGCUGCAGAUCCCCUCCUCUGUUCCCUCAUGUAAACAGACAUCAACACAUGGCUGCCUCCCUUCAUUCAGAUCCUUCCUGUAAUUCCUUUUGAGAGCUGGAACGUUUGUGUCCAGAUCAUAAAACUGUGAUUUACGCUUCUAAGUGUAUGGAUAAGGAGAAGACAACAGCAUCUCACAAGGGCAUGGAAACCACAACCCAAAAAAAUCUGUAUUGAUCAGUCCAAAGCCUGAUAUGAAAUAAAUAAGAUCUGCA
rnacentral:lncRNA from 1 species